rnacentral:lncRNA from 1 species
UUUUAGUGAAAAUUAUAAAAAUAAUAUUUCUAAGUGAAGUUCAAAAUAAGUAACUCAAGACCAGUUUUUUACAUGUAACUCUUGCAUAUCCUAAGCACUCCAUACCUUGAACCGCACACUGUUUCAAAUGUCUUUGCUGAUUCUCUACGUUUUUGUGUUUCCUUUUAAGGUUUUCUUCCACCUCAGUUGGUGGUGUUUUACUGUUGCUUUUAUUGCCUUGAGAGAGUCACCGCUAUUGCUACAGUUGUUUAUGAAGCUUCACUUGUAGCUAAUUAAGACAGUGAAACUGAUGCCUUGUUAGGGAAGAAAGCGAGCCUUGACAAUCAAAUCACAACUUCCCUGUCUUCUUGGAUUACCGGUACCAACCUGUACAUGGAAAGGAUUCAUUGUGAUCAAUCCCAGUCUAUUGCUACAGUUGUUUAUGAAGCUUCACUUGUAGCUAAUUAAGACAGUGAAGCUAAUGCCUUGUUUGGGCAGAAAGCGAGCCUUGACAAUCAAAUCACAAAUUCACUGUCUUCUUGGAUUAGUGGUACCAAUUCUUGUACAUGGAAAGGAUUCAAUGUGAUCAAUCCCCGUCUAUCAUCACAAUAAAGAUCUCAAGUAGCAUUGAAGCAGGUUGGCAGCCCAGAUUUAUAUGGUGGCGAUAACAUCAAACUAUUCACUUAUUGGACAGUGGAUUCUCAAUUCGAUUGCCCCAUUUUGUUCUUUCUUUUAAUUCAUUAUAAUAACUUGAUUAAUUACUUUGAUAGAUUGAUGCAUAUCAAGCAAUGGGAUGGUAUAACCUCCCUUGCUCUGGCUUUAUUCAAAUUAUCGAUAUAGGUCUGGGAGCAAGCAUCUUCCCACUUUCUAACCAUGCUUCUUCCCAAUAGGGAGUAUAACUUUAAGCAUCCUGGUAUGUGAGCACCAAGAACAUUUUGAGACCCACUCCCUGUAGAUGGUUGAAGACUAUGGAACCCACUUGAAGCCAUGCCACCACAGAGACCACACAGUUAAGCUUGUCAAAGAGAAAAGAAGAAACAGAGUUGCAAGGAAGAGGAGUCAAGGGGAAGCCGUCACAGGGAGGCUACCACGCACGUAAGGAGGAAAACACCCCUCAUGCAAUUCAUAACAUUUUUCCAAAACACGUUAUCCUUAACCGCCUUUUCCACAAUGAUCCCAUCUUUACUCUUUGCAAGUUUACCGGACUUCCACUCUUUCAAUGUGAACAUAAUAAUAAGUGCUCUAUAAUUGUAAUGCAAACACUCUAAUGUCAAGUAAGAUGCUGCAAAACGAGUCAUUGCAGGUUAAAUCAAAUAGUGUCUACAGUAAAUUUGUGCAAUAAAAGAAUAU